GUGAACCUUCACCCGUGCAUAUGAAAAACAAAAGAAAGGGGUUUAACCCUUUUGCAUAUUCUCCUCCCCACCUCCGGCCAGCUGCUUCCGGCGACAUUCCGGCGAGUCUUCCAGCCGGCAAGGUUCAAGUGGGGGUUUUGAAUCAACUCUAGAGAAGAGUUUGAUUUCUUGAAUUGAAGACACUAACAAGCUUCAAGGUUAGUGAAUUUACGUGGAGUAUACGUUGAAUUUGUGGUAAGAAUUUGCAGUUUGCUUUGAGGUGAGUUGUUUUUGAUGCCGGUACUACUGAUCAGCAGGAGGGGACGUGACCGUGGUGGCCUGGACGAGUGAUUAGCUUAUGUGUUGGACUUUGGAUGUCCUCUGUUAGUUUGGGACUAUACAUACAUACAUACAUAUAUAUAUAUAUAUGUAUGUAUGUAUUAUGAGAUUGUUUUCGGAAUUUAUGUUGGAUGACCAGGAGGGUGCUCCAGAAUAUUGGGACUCCUAUGUCUGGUAGCAUGGUUGUGGCAGUGGACCCUGAGGGUCUUGACUGGAUUGAUUCUGAUUGUUGUUGGAUGUUAUUAGAUUAUUAUGAACUGGUUGGGUUUUUUGUAUAUGUGCAGGAUGGCAUUCUCCAAUUUAUGAGGAGAUGUUGUCUGCUCGAUUUUCUCUCAACUCUAUUGGAGUGGUGUGGGAUUAGUAAUGUCGUGGUGUCAUUUGUCUUC